AUUGAACGCUGGCGGCAGGCCUAACACAUGCAAGUCGAACGAGUGGCGGACGGGUGAGUAAUGUCUGGGAAACUGCCCGAUGGAGGGGGAUAACUACUGGAAACGGUAGCUAAUACCGCAUACCAUCGGAUGUUCCCAGAUGGGAUUAGCUAGUAUGUGGGGUAACGGCUCACCUAGGCGACGAUCCCUAGCUGGUCUGAGAGGAUGACCAGCCACACUGGAACUGAGACACGGGCCAGACGCAUACGGGAGGCAGCAGUGGGGAAUAUUGCACAAUGGGCGCAAGCCUGAUGCAGCCAUGCCGCGUGUAUGAAGAAGGCCUUCGGGUUGGAAAGUACUUUCAGCGAGGAGGCGUGACUCGCAGAAGAAGCAACGGCUAACUCCGUGCCAGCCGCGGCGGUAAUUC
rnacentral:rRNA from 1 species